rnacentral:rRNA from 1 species
AUCAUUUUCCUUACCAUCCAAAAGGCAAUAGAUCCUAUCUGAUCUUGGAAGCUAAGCCGGAUCAGCCCUGAUUAGUACUUGAGUGGAGACCACCAAUGAUUAUCAGGUGCUGUAGGCU